GAACUGCGAUAAGUAAUGUGAAUUGCAGAAUUCAGUGAAUCAUCGAGUCUUUGAACGCACAUUGCGCCCCUGGCAUUCCGGGGGGCAUGCCUGUCCGAGCGUCAUUGCUGCCCUUCAAGCCCGGCUUGUGUGUUGGGUCGUCGUCCCCUCCGGGGGACGGGCCCGAAAGGCAGCGGCGACACCGCGUCCGGUCCUCGAGCGUAUGGGGCUUUGUCACCCGCUCGAUAAGGACCGGCCGGGCGCCAGCCGGCGUCUCCAACCUUUUUUUCUCAGGUUGACCUCGGAUCAGGUAGGGAUACCCGCUGAACUUAAGC
rnacentral:misc_RNA from 1 species